UACGGAGGGGGUUAGCGUUGUUCGGAAUGACUGGGCGUAAAGCGCGCGUAGGCGGAUCGGAAAGUCGGGGGUGAAAUCCCGGGGCUCAACCCCGGAAUGGCCUUCGAAACUCCCGGUCUUGAGUUCGAGAGAGGUGAGUGGAAUUCCGAGUGUAGAGGUGAAAUUCGUAGAUAUUCGCAAGAACACCAGUGGCGAAGGCGGCUCACUGGCCCGAUACUGACGCUGAUGCACGAAAGCGUGGGGAGCAAACAGG
rnacentral:rRNA from 1 species